rnacentral:rRNA from 1 species
GGGAGGCAGCAGUGAGGAAUAUUCCACAAUGGGCGAAAGCCUGAUGGAGCAACGCCGCGUGCAGGAUGAAGGCCUUCGGGUCGUAAACUGCUUUUAUAGGUGAAUAAUAUGAAUGUAGCUUAUGAAUAAGCACCGGCUAACUACGUGCCAGCAGCCGCGGUCAUACGUAGGGUGCAAGCAUUAUCCGGAGUGACUGGGCGUAAAGAGUUGCGUAGGUGGUUUGUCUAGUGAAUAGUGAAAUCUGGUGGCUCAACCACACAGACUAUUAUUCAAACUGGCAGACUCGAGAGUAGCAGAGGUAACUGGAAUUUCUAGUGUAGGAGUGAAAUCCGUAGAUAUUAGAAGGAACACCAAUGGCAUAGGCAGGUUACUGGGCUAUUUCUGACACUGAGGCACGAAAGCGUGGGGAGCGAACCGGAUUAGAUACCCCGGUAGG